rnacentral:rRNA from 1 species
UGGGAUGGGAAAAGUGCUGACCUUACUGGAUCGCGUCUGAUCUUGGAAACUAAGCAGGGUCGAGCCUGGUUAGUAUUUGGAUGGGAGACCACCUAGGAAGACCAGGUGCUGUAGGAG